rnacentral:lncRNA from 1 species
AAUUGAGCACUUAACCAUAAAUAUUUUAAAUACUAAAUUUAGUUCAACAUUACUUGAUAUUUAGUAUAAACUGACAUUGACAUUGCAGAUAUAAUAUUUCAUAGUGCAUGUGAUCUAUAAACUUGUACUGGGAGCACUAGACAUGUACCAAGGUUUUUUAUGUAUCUUUAGAAAAUUCAUCAUGUCAUGACCCAUAUUCGGGAAUCUGGCUAACAUUAGAAAUCCUCAGUUAUUUGAUGAAGUUUUUCAAAUCUUGAUAUGAUCAACAAGGGAAAAAAUCAAGACAAAAGAGGUUAAAGCUUUCUAAACAGUGCUGAAAAGGAAUAGACACCUUAUAGUCUCAAUUUACUUCUUCAGUGGACAACAGUUAGCAUUUUGGUCCCUAACCCAGAUCUGUUCCGUCGGCACCUCAUGCUUGGACUCUUUCCUAUUUUCAUCAUUUCACUCAACUAGUCCUCUGACCUCCCUGACACAGUUCCCUGAAUUCCAAGGUAAAAGCUGGCUGAUCUGUCAGACCAAUUUUAAAUCUGUCCAUAGUCUUUUUCUCUAUGCUGUGCUCUCAUAUCAACUCAUCAUUAUGACUCUGUGUUAAAGAUGUGAUAGUCUGAAGGGUUACCAUUAUUUUUCGGAAACUGAAUACUUGGUUUAACAUGACUCUUCUCUGAACAGCCUGGCUGAUUACCCUGACUCCCCUACUUUCAAUCAUACUGAAGAUGUUAUAUAACUAAUGUGUUAUUAAACAUAUAUAUAUAGAGAGAGA